ACGAACGCUGGCGGCGUGCUUCACUCAUGCCAGUCGAACGGAAAGGCCCUGCUUUUGUGGGGUGCUCGAGUGGCGAACGGGUGAGUAACACGUGAGUAACCUGCCCUUGACUUUGGGAUAACUUCAGGAAACUGGGGCUAAUACCGGAUAGGAGCUCCUGCUGCAUGGUGGGGGUUGGAAAGUUUCGGCGGUUGGGGAUGGACUCGCGGCUUAUCAGUUUGUUGGUGGGGUAGUGGCUUACCAAGGCUUUGACGGGUAGCCGGCCUGAGAGGGUGACCGGCCACAUUGGGACUGAGAUACGGCCCAGACUCCUACGGGAGGCAGCAGUGGGGAAUAUUGCACAAUGGGCGGAAGCCUGAUGCAGCAACGCCGCGUGCGGGAUGACGGCCUUCGGGUUGUAAACCUCUUUCGCCUGUGACGAAGCGUGAGUGACGGUAAUGGGUAAAGAAGCACCGGCUAACUACGUG
rnacentral:rRNA from 1 species